rnacentral:lncRNA from 1 species
GCUGUCAGGGCGAUGGGUUGGGCAGAGAGUAAGUUCCACUGAGUACCCACUCUGUGCCUGGCCAGUGCUAGCUGCUCCCUCACCCCCAAAAAGAUAUGUCAAAGUCCUAACGUCCAGUACCUGUGAAUGUGAACUUAUUGGGAAAUAAGAUCUUUACUGAUGUCAUGAAGUUAAGAUGGGGUUACAUGGGAUUAGGGUGGACACAAUCAAUGACUGAUGGGCAGAGAGACCCACAGACACAAAGAGAGGAGGCCACAUGAGGAUGGAAGCAGAGGUUGUGCUGAUGCAUCUACAAGUCAAGGAACCCCAAGAAUUGCAGCAACUGGGACUGUCCCCCACACAUCAAGGGGUUGCUUCUCAAGCUAGGAUGUCUUCUGCUAGGACUUAGAGAAGAUGGGACCCAUUUCAUGCUUUUCCAGCACGGGAUUGGUCCAAUUGCAGAGGCUGGGAGAGGGGCCUAGAACAGAUUUUCUCUCAUUGCCUCU